rnacentral:rRNA from 1 species
GACGAACGCUGGCGGCGUGCUCAACACAUGCAAGUCGAACGCUGAAGCACCAGCUUGCUGGUGUGGAUGAGUGGCGAACGGGUGAGUAAUACGUGAGUAACCUGCCCUUGACUCUGGGAUAAGCCCGGGAAACUGGGUCUAAUACUGGAUGCUACAUGUCACCGCAUGGUGGUGUGUGGAAAGGGUUUACUGGUCUUGGAUGGGCUCACGGCCUAUCAGCUUGUUGGUGAGGUAAUGGCUCACCAAGGCGACGACGGGUAGCCGGCCUGAGAGGGUGACCGGCCACACUGGGACUGAGACACGGCCCAGACUCCUACGGGAGGCAGCAGUGGGGAAUAUUGCACAAUGGGCGAAAGCCUGAUGCAGCGACGCCGCGUGAGGGAUGACGGCCUUCGGGUUGUAAACCUCUUUCAGCAGGGAAGAAGCCACAAGUGACGGUACCUGCAGAAGAAGCGCCGGCUAACUACGUG